AACUUACAAAAUUGAUUAACCUUUCAGCAACACGAUGAAGUUAAAUUUUUACAUCAUCUGGACCCCGGUACUUGGUACAUAUCCAUUAUAAAUGACGAUAGUAAAGCCGUUAUUGUAAAUUUUCACCCAACAGCUGCUCGUGACAUUCCAACGACGUGUCCCAAUGAUUGUCAUGAACACGGUAACUGUCACCUAGGAAAAUGUCAUUGUUUCCCAGGCUACAUUGGUCCCGAUUGUGCAGACAGUGUUUGUCCGGUUUUAUGUAGUGGUCACGGUAGGUAUGUUCAUGGUAGAUGUAGAUGUGAACCCGGUUGGAAAGGUGCAGAAUGUAGUGUCCAGGCUGAUGAGUGCGAAAUUGCUGAUUGUAACGGUCAGGGAAGAUGUGUGGAUGGUACUUGCCAAUGUAAUUCUGGUUACAGAGGAUUGCACUGCGAAGAGGGUAAGUAUUUGUACUGCUUU